ACGCAUGAUUUAUAUAUAUUCGCCUGUUUUAUCGUGGCUACUUCAUUCCUGAGACAUGGACAAGGAGUGCGUUGUUGUAGGAUGCUGCGAUCGGGAUAUAGAUAAGCAAACUGGUCUCAAAUUCCACAGUCCCGAAAAAUGAGCCACGAAGAAACAAGUCAACCGAAUCAGCUGACAAGAGAAAUCUGGCAACCUGGGGCUGACAGUGCUCGAGUUCUUGCACUCAAGGCAAAAAUGAUGACCCAAACAGCCCUGAUUGUGUACCUUCAGUAAAUUUGGGGUAUUUCGUGCUGGCGAAAACUUUAGAUAGAUAUGAACAUGCUACAUAAAGAAGAAUAAGCAAGGAAGAGGAAACAGGAUUUCGAGGCUAACCCUGAUGACAUCAUUGCCAAUGAAGUUAUUACAGAGCUUCUUGAAACUCAAUCUUCUGAUGAUAGAGAGAAUAUUGGCCCAUUAACAGAAAUACUUAGAAAACCUUCAGAUAAACUGAAUGUUGAAAAUAAAAACAAGUGGAGAAAGAAUUUAUGAGGAUGGUUCAGCAAAAAAGGAGAUGACAGAUAUGUUUCGGGCACAGCAUUUGAGGACUGAUGACGAGACAAAAUUUUACACAGGGCUUCCGUCUCAUGCAUGUUUUGACUGGAUGCCUCAUUUUGUGAUGGAUGUUUUGCCAACUUCUUCAACAUUAUGACCUGGCACUAUUGUGUUGUUGGUAUACCUAAAACUUAGACUCAAUUCACCAAAAAAGACAUUGGGCUCAGGUUUGAAGUAUGUGACUAUUCAGUGUCUAAUUACCUGGAUACAAGUAUAUCUGUUUAUAGAAUGCCCUUCUAAUUUCACCACCAGAUCAGCAACAUACAGCUCAUAUAAACACUCCAACACAAUUAACUACUUGGUUGUUAUUACACCAGCAGGCAGUGUUUCAUUCAUUUUAAGAG